rnacentral:rRNA from 1 species
UACAGAGGUCCCCAAGCGUUGUUCGGAUUCACUGGGCGUAAAGGGUGCGUAGGUGGUUGGGUAAGUCUGAUGUGAAAUCUCCGAGCUCAACUCGGAAACUGCAUCGGAUACUAUUUAACUAGAGGGUUGGAGGGGGACGUGGAAUACUUGGUGUAGCAGUGAAAUAGCGUAGAUAUCAAGUGGAACGACCAGUGGCGAAGGCGAGUCCCUGGACUGAUACUGACACUGAGGUGCGAAAGCGU